AUCCCUCCAAAGCUGAUUAUGCCUUAUAAGAGGUACAUGAAGGAAUAUAUGGAAAUCAUCUGAGAGGCAGGUUGCUAGCAUAUAAAAUACUUCGGCAAGGGUAUUACUGAUCCACCAAGCAACAAGAUGCGAUCAAUCUGACCAAUAAUGUGAUCGCUGCUAAUGAAAUGCCAACAUCCAAUGCCAACCAGCCAUGCCACUAACUCCCAUUAGACAUGCCAACUUAACUAAACAAAAUCGAUUUUGAUGUGGGUUUUAAUAAUUGAUUAGGGUUAAAUUGCAAAUAGUUUGGAUUCUAACCUAGGUUCUACAUAGAGGGUGGGGAUG
rnacentral:lncRNA from 1 species